UACGAAGGUGGCAAGCGUUACUCGGAAUUACUAGGCGUAAAGGGCAGGUAGGCGGUUUUGGUAAGUCUGUUGUGAAAGCUCCUCGCUCAACGGGGAGAGGCCAACAGAUACUGCCAGGCUUGAGUAUGGGAGAGGGUACUGGAAUUCCCGGUGUAGCGGUGAAAUGCGCAGAGAUCGGGAGGAACACCAAUGGCGAAAGCAGGUACCUGGACCAUUACUGACGCUCAGCUGCGAAAGCUAGGGGAGCAAACAGG
rnacentral:rRNA from 1 species